rnacentral:misc_RNA from 1 species
CGCCAAAUCACCGAUCGUAUCUAAACCAUGCCAGACGGGAGCAAAUCUACGCCACCUUUAUUAUUGGCAGAUACUCAACUCAAGAAGCAAUUUUCCAGGCCCUCCUAUUCCGCAGCCGCAGCCUUCCCGCCGGCGGACCCCUUGUACUUGUCCAGCGCUUUGCCGGCGAGCCGGCAGAUGCGCCACUGCGGGAGCACGUCAGCGCCCAUGCCCUCGUAGAAGUCGAUGGCGUUCUUGUUCCAGUCGAGCACGCACCACUCCACCCGGCCCAUCCCGAGCUCGGCCGCCCUGCCGGCGACGGCGGACAGCAUCAUCCGGCCGAGCCCGCGGCGGCGCCAGGGCGCGCGCACGAAGAUGUCCUCCAC